UACGGAGGGUGCGAGCGUUAUCCGGAUUCACUGGGCUUAAAGGGUGCGUAGGUGGGCAGGUAAGUCAGUGGUGAAAUCUCCGAGCUUAACCCGGAAACUGCCAUUGAUACUAUCAGUCUUGAAUACCGUGGAGGUAAGCGGAAUAUGUCAUGUAGCGGUGAAAUGCUUAGAUAUGACAUAGAACACCAAUUGCGAAGGCAGCUUACUACCCCAAUAUUGACACUGAGACACGAAAGCGUGGGGAUCAAACAGG
rnacentral:rRNA from 1 species